rnacentral:lncRNA from 1 species
CGACGUCACCCCAGAGAAGGUGCCCACCCAUAUCGUGGAUUACUCAGGUAUCUCCAAAUGCUGCCUCCUAGCCGGUGUAUAUUGAGCCUGCAGCCGGUCUGUAUCGAGCGCAACAGCCAUUCUACAUCGGAUUCUUUUUCCUUCUAGAAGCGGAGCAGACAGAGGAGGAACUUCAGGAGGAGAUCCACAAGGCAAACGUGGUGUGUGUGGUGUACGAUGUGUCUGAGGAAGCCACCAUUGAGAAGAUCCGAACCAAGUGGAUUCCCCUCGUGAAUGGCAGGACGGCAACAGGGCCCAGGUGACCAGCAGGGCCUCAGCUAGGGGGACUAGAGCCCACCUGUUCCCCAUCCCUGGUGAUCAUGGCCUCUCUCCCAGGUUGCCCAUCAUCCUGGUAGGCAAUAAGUCAGACCUGCGGCCAGGGAGUACCAUAGAGGCUGUGUUGCCCAUUAUGAGCCAGUUUCCUGAGAUAGAGACCUGUGUGGAGGUGAGUGGGGAGGUUAC